UUGCGAUUUAGGGCUGUUCAGGGAUGGGGAAACAGCUCGGGUCUUCACGGAAAUCUCCGCGAUGGCUGUGCGAACGAAAUUGCCAAAGGGGAGAACAUGAGACACAACGGAAAGUGGGCAUGCCCCAGUGCAGCGUUUCCCUUUUGCAUGCUUUGAAGCUUGGUUUGUGGCAAUGUGGCAUCCCUGUUACCUGGCAAUGGCUGGAGGAGUGCGGACACAGCAGAGGCAGGGCAAGUGGUCAGAGAGGUGCCCAGAGAGAAGCACAGCAGGCAAAAUGUUGGCACAUUUCUGGGCUGGGCUGAGCCCCCUUCUCUAUGGUUUUGGCAGCAGCCACAGCACAAAAGCCAGGUUAUGGUGGUGGCCGAAUUUGGACAACAUGACACUGCCUUCAAACCUCAGCUGUUUUAUAAUUGUGGCAAUGAAUGUGUUGAUUGGCUUCUCCACAAGCACAAGAGGAGUGUAACAUCUGUGAGAUCAGGAGAGCAUCUGGAUAAAAUUUUCAGCAGACAUACAGAACAGGUGGUGAUGUAGGAAGCAAUUGUUUUAUCUUUAGAACUUGUUGGGAAAACACUCAUGAGGCAUUAAACUACUGAAGGAUUCAUCAAAAGGGGGAAAAUGUUUAAUUGGUCAGGGAGAAACUCACUUCAGUAACAAUUUCAUGUACUGCAUAGCAUCCUUACUUGAGAAUAUCUGAGUAACUUGACUGUGCAAAUUAUCACACCAGCAAAUGCCAAUACUGACCUUACUGCCAAGAAGUUGUGAUGAAACGGAAGAGAAGUAAAAAUGAAACAUUUGUGUGACAAGC